AGGGAGCUGUAGCUCUUCUGAGACACAGUUCUGCCUGAACCAGCAUAUCCAGCCAAGCUUCCCGAUUUCUUGUCUUCUUUUUCUCUUUCCUUUUCUCUCUUAUUCUCGCUUUCGUUCACUUACUCUCCCAUUUUUUGCCACUGUGCCAGAUAAAUUUAAAUGUAUCUGUUCAAGUGGAGAUAAUCCAUGCAAAUCAGAGGCACUGGCACCUAAUGCUCGAUUCACAAAGAGAACUCAGCUUCAGGAGGUCAUUCGUUCACAGCUGCUCCUCCCAUAAUAUUUUUUCCCUCAUUGCAGAACUGCUGCAUGUAUACAGUGACUGAAAGGACUCAAUUUACUACAACUGCAGCCUGGUUUUACUGACAACUUUCUUUAAAGGGGGACUUACCUUCCAUCUGUCUUGUAAAGAUUGCCCUUGGAGACAUUCAGUAGAAUCUGGAGCUGGCCCUCAUUAGCAGAGAACACCUGUGGUCUGCAAUGGCUACCUACCAAUUCACUUCUGGGAACAGCUCAAGAGGAUCAGUAGGAGCUUAAGGCCCUGACUAGUCUAGGACUGAGCUACCUGGGAAAGUGAAUCUCUGUGCCCUGUUGUGGUGUUUGAGAUAAAAUGUUGACAGAACUCAACACUCGGGACAUCUCCCCACCUGAUGCUGAGUGCUAUGGAGUCUAAACCUGGGACUCCAUCUUAUCACAGGACACUCAUUUUGAUUUUGCAUCUGGAGAAUUGCAUCUGUUGCAAAAUUUCAGCACUAUCUUAUUAAUGCAACAUAACCCUGCUCACCUCAAACUUUACUCCACCAGGACAAGAUGAGUAGGAGGAAUCAAUGGCAGAGCAUCAGCCGCUGAACUUACCGCACCUUACCACAUGAAAGACACCACAUGCCUUUAGCAGUUUCUGCAGGCUGUCCUCCUGGCCCUGUAAGAACACAAACCCCAGCUUAUUGUGGAGACCCUCAUCAUCUCCCUGCAGGUGCAGCUCUUCCAGCUGCACCCAUCAUGCAUCUGGACAUCAUUCCGACUGGUGCACCAGCUCAUUAUGGAGUGGUAGGACAAUCGGCAGUGGCUCCAGAAUUUCUGCAUGCAGAAGGAGACCUUUCUGGAGCUGUGUGAAUGGCUCAUCCCUGCCCUCAGGUAACAGGACACCCACAUGAGACCUGCUAUCCCCCUCAAGAAGUGGGUAGCCAUUGCUAUUUGGAAGCUUGCCAUGCUGGAUCUAUCAAGAACCAGUUCAGCAUGGGGAGGUCAACCGUCAGGGCCCUGGUCACACAGGUAUGGCCCCUUGGGCUAUUGUCCCAGGAAGGGGGUGAAGUGCUAGA